rnacentral:rRNA from 1 species
GGAAUCUUCCACAAUGGGCGCAAGCCUGAUGGAGCAACACCCGCGUGAGUGAAGAAGGGUUUCGGCUCGUAAAGCUCUGUUGUUAAAGAAGAACACGUAUGAGAGUAACUGUUCAUACGUUGACGGUAUUUAACCAGAAAGUCACGGCUAACUACGUGCCAG